UAGUGGCAGACGGGUGAGUAAUGUAUAGGAAUCUACCUAGUAGUACGGAAUAAUUGUUGGAAACGGCAACUAAUACCGUAUACGCCCUACGGGGGAAAAUUUAUUGCUAUUAGAUGAGCCUAUAUUAGAUUAGCUAGUUGGUGGAGUAAUAGCCUACCAAGGCAAUGAUCUAUAGCUGAUCUGAGAGGAUGAUCAGCCACACUGGAACUGAGAUACGGUCCAGACUCCUACGGGAGGCAGCAGUGGGGAAUAUUGGACAAUGGGCGAAAGCCUGAUCCAGCCAUGCCGCAUGAGUGAAGAAGGCCUUUGGGUUGUAAAGCUCUUUUAGUGAGGAAGAUAAUGACGGUACUCACAGAAGAAGUCCUGGCUAACUCCGUGCCAGCAGCCGCGGUAAUACGGAGAGGGCUAGCGUUAUUCGGAAUUAUUGGGCGUAAAGGGCGCGUAGGCUGAUUAAUAAGUUAAAAGUGAAAUCCCGAGGCUUAACCUUGGAAUUGCUUUUAAAACUAUUAAUCUAGAGAUUGAAAGAGGAUAGAGGAAUUCCUGAUGUAGAGGUAAAAUUCGUAAAUAUUAGGAGGAACACCAGUGGCGAAGGCGUCUAUCUGGUUCAAAUCUGACGCUGAAGCGCGAAGGCGUGGGGAGCAAACAGGAUUAGAUACCCUGGUAGUCCACGCUGUAAACGAUGAAUGUUAAAUAUGGGAAGUUUACUUUCUGUAUUACAGCUAACGCGUUAAACAUUCCGCCUGGGGACUACGGUCGCAAGAUUAAAACUCAAAGGAAUUGACGGGGACCCGCACAAGCGGUGGAGCAUGUGGUUUAAUUCGAUGCAACGCGAAAAACCUUACCACUUCUUG
rnacentral:rRNA from 2 species